rnacentral:tRNA from 1 species
CAGAUAAUAGUUUAGUAAAAAAUAUUAAUUUUGGAGAUUAAAGAUAUAAUGAAAUUAUUUAUCUGA